rnacentral:sRNA from 1 species
CCAUAGCCCCGAUAGAAGCGGCAUCCUUUUUUGUUUUAUCUUUUAGUUUUCUAUUGAUGACAAAUGGUCGUAAACAAAAAAGAUAUAGCGGAUAGCGGGAAAUAGC